GCGCAGCAGGCGCGAAUACUUUACAAUGUGCGAAAGCACGAUAAGGGAACUCUGAGUGCCUCCUAAGGAGGCUGUUCAGGUGUCUAAAAAGCACCUGAAGGAAGGGCUGGGUAAGACCGGUGCCAGCCGCCGCGGUAACACCGGCAGCCCAAGUGGUAGCCACGUUUAUUGGGUCUAAAGCGUCCGUAGCCGGCUGGGUAAGUUCCUUGGGAAAUUUGGCUGCUUAACAGUCAAGCUUUCAGGGAAUACUGCUCGGCUUGGGACCGGGAGAGGUCAGAGGUACUCCAGGGGUAGGGGUGAAAUCCAUUAAUCCUUGGGGGACCACCGGUAGCGAAGGCGUCUGACCAGACCGGGUCCGACGGUGAGGGACGAAGGCUA
rnacentral:rRNA from 1 species